ACAAGUACCGUGAGGGAAAGUUGCAAAGUACUUUGAAGAGAGAGUUCAAGAGGACGUGAAACCGAUAGGAUGGAAGCAGAUGAAGUUGACGAACGUGUGUCGUAUUCAAAAUCGCUGUCAGCGGUUUGUUUUUACGGCCGAUGUGGGCCGGCGGCUUUGGUCAAUGCAACGCGUCUAGCGUCGAUGGUGACCCUGCGGAGGGACAAUUAGUCGCCGUACGGUGCUUGGUAUGGCUAAGGUUUCGCCGGUCUUAAAGUCAGCGCCUCAUCUGACCCGUCUUGAAACACGGACCAAGGAGUGUAGCGUUUGCGCAAGUCUUAGAGUGUAUCGAAACUCUGAGGCGUAACGAAAGUAAAUGCAGUUUAAUCUGCUGACUUGGGAUGCGUUGUCUCUUGUGGACGGCGCUGGACCAAGGUUUUAUCGCGAUCGCUUGCGGUGCGGUGAAAAUAGAGCGUAAACGGUGCGACCCGAAAGAUGGUGAACUAUGCCUGAGCAGGAUGAAGCCGGAGGAAACUCUGGUGGAAGUCCGAAGCGGUUCUGACGUGCAAAUCGAUCGUCUGACUUGGGUAUAGGGGCGAAAGACUAAUCGAACCAUCUAGUAGCUGGUUCCUUCCGA
rnacentral:rRNA from 1 species